CAGCCGCCGCGGGAAUACGAAGGGUGCAAGCGUUAAUCGGAAUUACUGGGCGUAAAGCGUGCGUAGGCGGUUUGUUAAGUCUGUUGUGAAAUCCCCGGGCUCAACCUGGGAAUGGCAAUGGAUACUGGCUCGCUAGAGUGUGUCAGAGGAUGGUGGAAUUCCCGGUGUAGCGGUGAAAUGCGUAGAGAUCGGGAGGAACAUCAGUGGCGAAGGCGACUAUCUGGGCCAACACUGACACUGAGGCACGAAAGCGUGGGGAGCAAACAGGAUUAGAUACCCCCGUAGUCCCUGUCUCUUAUAC
rnacentral:rRNA from 1 species